CCUUGCCGGGUUUUUGUACGUACUCAUGCACUUGAGCACGAGUUUUUCGUUUUUCCUCUUCAAUAAAUAAUUGAGAAGGUAAUCCAACUAGGAUUUCGUGCCUUUUUCAUCAAAAGAUUAUUGAGGCCAAUUGUACAGCGUUUGUUUGUUUACAUAUUGUGGUUUAACUUUUAUUUAAUAUUUUAACCAUUGUUUUUGUCUUUUGUAGGUUCUUUCUGUUUCUUUUGUUUCAGAAAUGAACUUACAAAAUAGAGGUUCAUGUGGUCAUGUCAAGACAAGGUGGAAUUUCCACAACACUUGCCUUGCAUGUACCGGUUGCACUUGCUUCACAAAUGUGCGGUGUGCGUAUUGUGGGCUUAUGACACAGCUGGUCGCCGACGGACAUCGAUCAGCCACAACGCAACGAACCUACAACAGACGUUGAUUGUCCGGUGACUUCACUGGAUGAUGGUCUUUAAAUUGUUUUGAAUAUACGUACAAUUGAUGUUAUCUUUUACAAUAGUAACUAAGAUAAUAUUAGUUAAUUGUAUUAUAUGCUAAUAAUUAUUGUGCCAUAUGACAAUCUGGUCUAGGACCAGUUAAUUGUUGAAUAUGUUUUAGUCUUAUUUUUCAUAUUCAACUACACGAUGUCUGCAGAGAGGACAUCUGAUGAUAUAGCCUUCGCUAUUCUUUCCCGGGCAGGAUGAGAUCUAUUAGUAAAUAUUGCUUAGAAAGUAGAUCUACAUCACACCUUAUGGCACCAAGAUGGGAAGAAGAGCCAUACGUCGGUAACUGCCCGUUGGCGGUGACCUUGGAGGGUCAUCGCCGGUGACAGUACUGUUCACUUAGUGACGGUCCGUUCACCGGAAAACAAUUUCCGGGUACUGUUCCCGUUAAUUGAGGCGAGACGGGCAAGACGUGGAACACGGAGCUACCUCUCCGUCGAUCGUCGUCAGACCAUUGGGGCGUUCGCCAUUUACCGGUCUGUGCCCGUAGACGUUGACCACGGAGCAACAACGGUACGUCGGUCAAUGUCUCAUUCAGGUUUGUUGAGGUAUGUAUGAUUAUAACAUAUAUACCUAACGUUGACCACGGAGGUUCAAUACUAGUGACGUCACAGUUUCAGAGAUGUUCCUGUAACACGUUGAGGAAACGGUUCCCAUUAACAUAGACGGACAAGACGUGGAACACAGAACUAUCGCAUCGUCGAUCGUCUUCAGAUCAUGGUGCUUUCGCCUUCACCGGUCUGUGCCUGUAGACGUUGACCACGGAGCAACAACGAACACCAGUUACCGGGGACUGAUCCUGUCAUGGAGAAGAAUAUCCGUCACGGGUUCUCGGUACCUAAGAAGAACCUUCUUACGUCGGUUUUUGCCCGAGGA